rnacentral:lncRNA from 1 species
AGAGAAAUCAGUAGUACUGCUAGGUUUAACACAGUAAUAAUAUAUAACUGCCUCUCAGUGAAAUCAGUAGUACUGCUAGGUUUAACACAGUAAUAAUAUAUAUCUGCCUCUCAGAGAAAUCAGUAGUACUGCUAGGUUUAACACAGUAAUAAUAUAUAUCUGCCUCUCAGUGAAAUCAGUAGUACUGCUAGGUUUAAUACAGUAAUAAUAUAUAUCUGCCUCUCAGAGAAAUCAGUAGUACUGAUAGGUUUAACACAGUAAUAAAAUAUAUCUGCCUCUCAGAGAAAUCAGUAGUACUGCUAGGUUUAAUACAGUAAUAAUAUAUAUCUGCCUCUCAGAGAAAUCAGUAGUACUGCUAGGUUUAAUACAGUAAUAAUAUAUAUCUGCCUCUCAGAGAAAUCAGUAGUACUGCUAGGUUUAAUAGAGUAAUAAUAUAUAUCUGCAUCACUCUCAGAGAAAUCAGUAGUACUGCUAGGUUUAACACAGUAAUAAUAUAUAUCUGUCUCACUCUCAGAGAUCAGGCUAUAUGGAGUACCAGUACUGAGUCAAUGUGCAGGGGUACCAGGUAGUUGAGGUAAUAAUGAGGCUAUAAGGAUUACCAGUACUGAGUCAAUGUGCAGGGGUACCAUGUAGUUGAGGUAAUAAUGAGACUAUAAGGAGUACCAGUACUGAGUCAAUGUGCAGGGGUACCAGGUAGUUGAGGUAAUAAUGAGACUAUAAGGAGUACCAGUACUGAGUCAAUGUGCAGGGGUACCAGGUAGUUGAGGUAAUAAUGAGACUAUAAGGAGUAAAAGUACUGAGUCAAUGUGCAGGGGUACCAGGUAGUUGAGGUAAUUGAGGUAAUAUGUACAGGUAGGUAGAUGUAAAAGUGACUAGGCAAUCAGGAUAGAGAUUACAUGUCCUCGUCCAGGGAUUGCACACACACACACACACACACACACACACACACACACACACACACACACACACACACACACACACACACACACACACACACACACACACACACACGUGGAGGGAACGUUGUGUUUGUUUAAUAUUGUUUUAGGACUAUGAAAAUGGACAAAAGUAUUAGCCUAUGGAUUAUGAAAACAACCAAAAGAAAUGUGAAAAUGGGAGAGGAGAAAUGACUAGAGACAGUGUUGUUUAACUCACUGACCAUGACCCAUGAGUUCUUCUUACCUUUGUUCAGUAGAAAAGUCUCCCUCUCUAAACUCUAUAGGUGUACCCAUAGACCGAUCACUCUUCAUGGACACACAGCUGGGUACAGGGGAGGCUGUUCUCUCCGGCUUGAUUGGUCUUCAACACAACAGAGACAAACAUUACAUCUCUCAUCUACUCUGAUCUCAGAUGGGAACAUAAGAAGAGCUCCAACAUGCAACAUAUCACUUUACAGAAAUGUUCGGAAAUGUGCCUUUAUGGUUUAAAGAAAUUAUGGAAGAGAUUGGUGUGUUAUUUCACUAUCUAAUCAUGGCAUGGCGUUGUUCAGUGACAGACAUGUAUUUGUUUAAAAUCUAUCACUUGAUGGUUUCAUUUCAGAGAGAGAAAUAAUGUUUUUUUGCUAAAUGCUAUAUAUCUGCCUCACUCUCAGAGAAAUCAGUAGUACUGCUAGGUUUAACACAGUAAUAAUAUAUAUCUGUCUCACUCUCAGAGAUCAGGCUAUAUGGAGUACCAGUACUGAGUCAAUGUGCAGG